UACGGGGGGGGCAAGCGUUGUUCGGAAUUACUGGGCGUAAAGGGCUUGUAGGUGGCCAACUAAGUCAGACGUGAAAUCCCCCGGCUUAACCGGGGAACUGCGUCUGAUACUGGAUGGCUAGAGAUUGGGAGAGGGGGGUAGAAUUCCACGUGUAGCAGUGAAAUGCGUAGAUAUGUGGAGGAAUACCGAUGGCGAACGGCAGCCCCCUGGAUAACACUGACGCUCA
rnacentral:rRNA from 1 species